rnacentral:snoRNA from 1 species
CGUUUGUUAUUAAAAAUGCCUGAUCAUAUGAACUUCGUAGUGAUUUCAGUGCUUUACUGAGAUAAGCU